GGUCGCUUAGCUCAGUUGGUUAGAGCGUGGUGCUAAUAUCAGCAAUCCUCUUGAGGACCAAGAGUUAACGCCAAGGUCGCGAGUUCGACCCUCGUAGUGACCA
rnacentral:tRNA from 1 species